AUUGAACGCUGGCGGCAUGCCUUACACAUGCAAGUCGAACGGCAGCACGGGAGCAAUCCUGGUGGCGAGUGGCGAACGGGUGAGUAAAGUAUCGGAACGUGCCCAGUCGUGGGGGAUAACGUAGCGAAAGUUACGCUAAUACCGCAUACGAUCUAUGGAUGAAAGCGGGGGAUCGCAAGACCUCGCGCGAUUGGAGCGGCCGAUAUCAGACUAGGUAGUUGGUGGGGUAAAGGCUCACCAAGCCGACGAUCUGUAGCUGGUCUGAGAGGACGACCAGCAACACUGGGACUGGGACACGGCCCAGACUCCUACGGGAGGCAGCAGUGGUGAAUUUUGGACAAUGGGCGAAAGCCUGAUCCAGCCAUGCCGCGUGCAGGAUGAAGGCCUUCGGGUUGUAAACUGCUUUUGUACGGAACGAAGAGGUUUGGCCUAAUAAGCUGAGCUCAUGACGGUACCGUAAGAAUAAGCACCGGCUAACUACGUGCCAGCCGCCGCAGUAA
rnacentral:rRNA from 1 species